rnacentral:lncRNA from 1 species
GUCUUUUUACCUGUCUCUGCCUGGGGAAAAGGAGCUGCUUUCAUUGAUGGUUAUUACGGAAGCACUUGGAAGCUGAAGAUCAGCCGGAGGACUCACUGCGCUUCCCCCCACUGCCUCCCCUCCCCCGACUUACUGCCAGAAACCAACUGACUUCCAAACUUGGCCGUCUGAAAAAGAAUGUUCUCUGAUUGGCAUUCCUGGAAGCAGAAAGCAAGGCAGCUCAAGUUUUGUUCUGUUACUCAGCAUGAAAAACUUCCCAGGUAGAUAUAAUACAAACAAAUAUGUACUACAAGAGACGAGAAAGGAAGUUUUUCAAGGUGAAGGAAAAUUAUUCCUAAUGGAAGCCUGGAUCUACAAAAGGGAAUGAAAAGCACUAGAAUGGAUAAAUGAAUAAACAUCUGGUACAUAGCUGUAUAUUCCUCAUUGUGGGUCCUUCCAGCUGUGGCAUGUGGGACGCCGCCCCAGCGUGGCCGGAUGAGCGGUGCCACGCUCGCGCCCAGGACCCGAACCAACGAAACAUGGGGCCGCCUGCAGCGGAGCGUGCGAACACAACCACUCAGCCACGGGGCCAGCCCCUCUAUGGAGAGAAGCAGAAUUUCUACAGUCUCUGGACAUUUCUUCAGCA